GCAUUGGUGGUUCAGUGGUAGAAUUCUCGCCUGCGAAGAGGGAGACCAGGUCCGAUUCCCAGCCAAUGCA
rnacentral:tRNA from 1 species